CAAAUUAUUGCUAUAAUAUUAAGUAAUUAGCAUAUAGCUAAUUAAUACAUUGAUACACAAUAACGUAAAACGAAAAGAAAAUAAAACACUUAUAUGAAAGGGAUAUACAUGUCCUUUAUGAUGUCCUUAGCUUUAGCUCUGAUAUGGCAACUAUUCCUAAUGUCCCAGCUGCCUUUAGGGGAUGCCAAGAGUAUUUCCAUUGCUCCAGCACAGCAGCAGUCUAUCGGUGGCAUCAACAACUCUACGAGUAACACCUCGAUCCUCGAUGCAGGCGAGCAGAUGAAGAACACCACUAGUCUUGCAGUAUCCGGUCCUGGUUCCCCUUCUGUUAUAUCUGCUACUCAUUUUCAAUCAUCGCCAUCCGCGGUGAAGCAUAUCCGGCGGAGCAAGCGUUCAACUCGCAUAAAUUUGCCAUUCGAUUUUCAUACGAAACAUCUACCCUGCGACAUGGAUAUGGGCCCUCAGCUCAUCAGCCAUUUGAAUUCUUUCUGCAUUUGGGCAUAUAACAACAAGUAUGCCCAUGAGGGAACCUGGCGAGUCUGGCAGAUCUAUAAGUUGGAGGGAUUCUUUUUUGGUCAGUACUACGAGCGCUUGAAGCGCUACGAAAUCGAUCCCCACGGCUAUGUUUGGCCAAAAGACCCAUAGAUACACUACAAAUGUUUGUAGGGUCAAUAAAAUUAUCCGUUCUUAUUGGAUGGUUGAUUUACGGUUUAGGGCGGUAUUUCUGGGUUAUUUAUGGGAUACCUUUUUCUUAUGUGCCAUUGAGUUAGUUGUCUGUACAUUUCACUAGUAAAAGUCAUCAUUGAUAGUCCGUAAAUUCAACUCGAAACAAAUCCAAAAUUUUUGUGUAAUUGAAUUUGUUUUGGAACGUAAAAUGAAGUUGCCAUUUUGGAGAACAAUAAUCCUGUUGGCAUUGCUGUUUGUGGGGUUCCUACUAAUUGAGAGUGCAGCUGCCCGGAGUGUUCCGGAAUACAUGCCAAACGAAACGAAAAAUUCCAGUGUCGUC